rnacentral:rRNA from 1 species
UGGGGAAUAUUGCACAAUGGGCGAAAGCCUGAUGCAGCGACGCCGCGUGAGGGAUGGAGGCCUUCGGGUUGUAAACCUCUUUCAGUAAGGGUGAAGGCUCUCUUUUGUGGAGGGUUGACAGUACUUGCAGAAGAAGCGCUGGCUAACUACGUGCCAGCAGCCGCGGUAAUACGUAGGGCGCGAGCGUUGUCCGGAAUUAUUGGGCGUAAAGGGCUUGUAGGUGGCGUGUCGCGUCUGCUGUGAAAUUCCAGGGCUUAACUUUGGGAUUGCAGUGGGUACGGGCAUGCUAGAGUGCAGUAGGGGAGAUUGGAAUUCCUGGUGUAGCGGUGAAAUGCGCAGAUAUCAGGAGGAACACCGGUGGCGAAGGCGGGUCUCUGGGCUGUUACUGACGCUGAGGAGCGAAAGCGUGGGGAGCGAACAGG